AAAUAGAUACCCAGGUAGUCCUAGCCGUAAACGAUGGGUACUGGGUAGAAAGCGUGCCGAUGCGCCUUCUGCCGAAGCGAAAGUGUUAAGUACCCCGCCUGGGGAGUAUGGUCGCAAGGCUGAAACUCAAAGGAAUUGACGGGGGCUCACACCAGCGGUGGAGCAUGUGGCUUAAUUCGAGGCUACGCGAAGAACCUUAUCCUGGGUUUGACAUGUACGGAUUAGCUUCCUGAAAGGGAAGUGACGCGGCUUGCCGUGGAACGUACACAGGUGCUGCAUGGCUGUCGUCAGCUCGUGUUGUGAGAUGUCGGGUUAAGUCCCUUAACGAGCGAAACCCUUAUCCUUAGUUACCAACGGUUCGGCCGGGCACUCUAAGGAGACUGCCGGUGUUAAGCCGGAGGAAGGUGGGGAUGACGUCAAGUCCUCAUGGCCUUUAUGCCCAGGGCUGCACACGUGCUACAAUGGGUAGUACAAAGGGAUGCGAACUUGCGAAAGUAAGCAAAUCCCAAAAAGCUGCCCUCAGUUCGGAUUGCAGG
rnacentral:rRNA from 1 species